UACGGAGGAUCCAAGCGUUAUCCGGAUUUAUUGGGUUUAAAGGGUGCGUAGGUGGCCUGUUAAGUCAGGGGUGAAAGACGGUAGCUUAACUAUCGCAGUGCCCUUGAUACUGAUGGGCUUGAAUAAGCUAGAGGUAGGCGGAAUGUGACAAGUAGCGGUGAAAUGCAUAGAUAUGUCACAGAACACCAAUUGCGAAGGCAGCUUACUAUGGUUUUAUUGACACUGAGGCACGAAAGCGUGGGGAUCAAACAGG
rnacentral:rRNA from 1 species